rnacentral:lncRNA from 1 species
GUUCAAUUCCCAGCCACCACAUGGUGGCUCAUAGCCAUCUAUAAUGAGAACUGGUACCCUCUUCAGGCCUGCAGACAUAAUGCAGGCAAAACACUGUAUACAUAAUAAAUAAAUAAAUCUUUAAAAAAAGAAAUGUAAGGUGUGGUUCAUAGAUUUAUAAAUUUAGGUUUAGAAAUACUUAUUGAUAAGAUUGAAUCUAUUUUUUAAGAUUUAUUUAUUAUAUGUAAGUACACUGUAGCUGUCUUCAGACACUCCAGAAGAGGGCGCCCCCAAGUCCUUUGUUUUUUAUAUAAAUAUAUGUUCUAUACACACAAAAUAAUUGUAAGAAACAUAAUCACACUAUGUGGAAUCACAUAUUUGUUCUGAAUGUUAAGGAUAUAUAGUAUCAGAUGCCAGUAGUGGCACAUUUAACGUGCGUUGGGAAUAGAUUCAUGUAGACUGGUGUCGCCUUUUUUUUUUCCUUCCUUUAUAAUUUUAUUGAGGAGGAAUGUUUAGAACUUGAAAGAUUUCUCUAGGGUCGAGAGAGAUGGUUCAGCAUUUAAGAGUGUGAACUGCUCUUCCAGAAUAUCUGAGUUUGGUUCCUGGUACCCACGUCAUUGGCUCAGAACUACCUGUACCUCCAGCUCUAGGAGAUCUGAUGCUUCUGGCUUACUCACACAGCCAGACUCUAGUGAUGUGCACAUGAUAAAACAAUUAAACAGGAGCUUGAGAGAUGGCAGAACAAUUAAGAGCAUUGUCUGCUCUUGGAGGAGACCAGGACUUAAUUCUCAGCACCCACAUGGGGGUUCACAAUUGUCUUUAACUCGAGUUUCAGGUGACCUCAUGUACUCAUCUGACCUGUGGGUACCAGGCAAGCAUGUGGUGCGCAUAUAUGUAUGUAUGUAUGUAUGUAUGUAUAUACAAGAAGGCAAAAUACCUAUAUACAUAAACUGAUAAUAGAUAAAUAUUCUCAAAAGAAAUGUUUUCAAGUGAGAUUAGCAGCAUAUGCCUCUAUUCCAUCACUUGAGAAUUAAAUUGGAAUUCAAGGCCAGCCUCAGCUGCUUAGUAAGAUACAGUCCAACUCUUAUAUGUGAGAUCUUCUUUCCAAACAGAGC